UACGGGGGGUGCGAGCGUUGUCCGGAAUCACUGGGCGUAAAGGGCGCGUAGGUGGCCUGAUAAGGGUGUGGUGAAAGGCCGGGGCUCAACCCCGGAUCUGCCGUGCCGACUGUUGGGCUGGAGUACUGUAGGGGCAGGCGGAAUUCCGGGUGUAGCGGUGGAAUGCGUAGAGAUCCGGAGGAAGACCGGUGGCGAAGGCGGCCUGCUGGGCAGUUACUGACACUGAGGCGCGACAGCGUGGGGAGCAAACAGG
rnacentral:rRNA from 1 species